rnacentral:rRNA from 1 species
UGGGGAAUCUUGCCCAAUGGGCGAAAGCCUGAGGCAGCAACGCCGCGUGUGGGAUGACGGCCUUCGGGUUGUAAACCACUUUCAGCAGGGACGAAAUUGACGGUACCUGCAGAAGAAGCUCCGGCCAACUACGUGCCAGCAGCCGCGGUAAUACGUAGGGAGCGAGCGUUGUCCGGAUUUAUUGGGCGUAAAGCGCGCGUAGGCGGUUUGAUAAGCCGGGUGUGAAAACCUCCAAGCUCAACUUGGAGCGGCCACUCGGAACUGUCAUGACUUGAGUCAGGUAGGGGAACACGGAAUUCCAGGUGUAGCGGUGAAAUGCUUAGAUAUCUGGAGGAACACCAGUGGCGAAGGCGGUGUUCUGGGCCUGUACUGACGCUGAUGCGCGAAAGCGUGGGGAGCGAACAGGAUUAGAUACCC